ACGAACGCUGGCGGCGUGCCUAACACAUGCAAGUCUGGGAGAAUUGGGUAGCAAUAUCCAUUGUAAACCGGCGCACGGGUGAGUAAUAUAUAGGUAAUAUGCCUUUUGGUUUGGAAUAACCCCGCGAAAGCGGGGCUAAUACCGAAUGAUGCAGCGAUUCCGCAUGGAGUUGCUGUCAAAGCUUCGGCGCCAAAAGAUUAACCUGUAUCCCAUUAGAUAGUUGGCGAGGUAACGGCUCACCAAGUCUGCGAUGGGUAGCUGAUCUGAGAGGAUGAUCAGCCACACUGGAACUGAGACACGGUCCAGACUCCUACGGGAGGCAGCAGUGAGGAAUAUUGCGCAAUGGAGGAAACUCUGACGCAGCGACGCCGCGUGAAGGAUGAAGGCCCUCUGGGUUGUAAACUUCUGUAGAGAGGGAAGAAUUUCCGCCUCCGGCGGAUUGACGGUACCUCUAAAGUAAGGGUCGGCUAACUACGU
rnacentral:rRNA from 1 species